UAUGCUUUUGUAACAUUGGAGUAUUACAGGAUAUGCUUUGGUUGUAUAUGCUUUUGUAACAUUGGAGGAACACUCAGGAACCAGACAGUUUCGACAAACGAAGUAAUAAUUUUACUGCCUAAAACGGAAAAACAAUGGUGUGACUGUUGAUAAAAGCUAGUGUCUACGUGGUCAGGAAGAUCCGGGCAUCCAUUGCUCAGGGAGAGCAAAAAGAAGAGCCCAUCCUGACACCAUGUAGUGCUAAAGCUCAAAGAAGAGUGGGGCAGAAGCCGAUAGGAUCCUCCUCCACUGAUGCACUUAACCCAGAACCUGCUGAACACGUCGGUGGAGCAGCAGGGUCAGGGAUGACAGUCGUGGAGAAAUGUGGUUCUUGACGCUAAAGACCUGGCUGGAUACUGGCACUAGGAUCAACUUAAUGGCCAAACAAUUAUGAUUUAUUAUAUGUCUGUAUUUAAAGUACAGGGAAAUGAUAUAUUUUAAUUUAUGAAUAUUUUUUUCAGGAUUUUUUGGCAAAACACAUAUCUAUAAAACAGACUCAAAGUGCAUUAUUUUAGUAUUUUUAUUUAAAGCAUUCAAGUUGUACUUAGUGACCAAUGUCCAGCUCAGAAUAACACUCAAGAUGGUCUUUUUCACAACAGACAUGUUGACUCUCCAGAAAAUAAAUGCAAGUAAUAAAUAAAAUGUUUUCACUUUUCUGAGCUACCCUGCUCUGUACAGUGAUGUGCUUUGGAACAUCUGAUUGUAAACUUGUUUGUUUUGAAGUGUAACUGGUUAGUCACCAUGUUGUGACAAAAGUUGAAAGUUAUGUACUGCAGUGUUUGAAGGCUGACUCAUCAACCUCUCUGUUCAGGGGCUGAGUAGACCUGAUGUUUCUGUUGAUACAUUAUUAAAUAAAUUGGU